CCCGACUUGUUUAAAGUCGUAGAUAGUUCCGUCCCCCCAUUUCUGUGAAGUCAGAAUCCUUAACUGUAGAUUUUCAAUCUGCAGCUGCAUGGAAUGAAGCAUUGCCUUAAAACAAUAACACACCUGCGGAAAUUUCUCCUCGUUUCUUAUAAUACACGCGCGCAGUUGUAGCAAGUGAUUCUAAUAAACCGCGUAUACAAUUGUAUUGCGUUCUCAGCAGCCAUGAUCCUUUUAGUGCUUUGGGCGACCUGGUGCCCCCUUCCGAUGCCCCUCCUUUGAAUUCCUUAUAGAUGUCGGAUCAUAGUAUAAAAUCAUCGUUUCUUUACUUAUCAUCAUAGGUCUAAUAACAACUUCCUCGUCUUAAGGGUAAAACUCUAAGAACUUUUCACAACAUUCAUCGCGUCGGUAGUUAUGAACUGCACUACAAAUCCCCGAAACCCACCUUUCAGCAAUAUUUUCCACAAAUUGAUUAUUUUCUGGGAUAGUCACUGUUACAUCAUCUAAGAAUUAUCUUCGCUAGGUCAGUUUUUAAGGUUUUAUAUGAAAGAACGCCUUAUUGGAGUCGGUUUACUAUAUGUCUGUGUUCGAUCAUCUGUUUGCCGGUCUGUCAUACCUAUUUGUUCAGAAACCGUUUGAUACGAUAUUGAUACGGAAUUUGAUGUAAAAGUGGGAACUGUGAAUCCUCUCUGAUGCAGUGAAUAACAUUGUUCUCCGUUGAGUUUAUGUGGGAGGAGGAUGUAAAUUUCUUGUCACCGAAUAUAUUCAUGUGGGGUAUCAAAUACUACUAGAUUAGUUCUUUCCAAAACCCGUUCUCAGAAACUACUCAACUAAAAAAUCCGCAAAAAGAAACACGAAGCUGUUACUAAAUGAUGUCUGGAUCUCAAAAUACUCUCAAUAUCGAUGUCUGGCUAACAAGUUAAUGCCACUCUUAGCGCAAAAAAUCAAAAGCGUAGAAGUUGGAUCAAGUCUCAAAAAAAUGCAACUUCAGGAUCAAAUAUAAACCUCUGUACAACAACAACAACAAACGGAUAUAAUGUAUUUUUUUAUUUCAUCAUCUAUAUUUUAAAUAAAAGAAACCUCAAAUUA